rnacentral:tRNA from 1 species
GGAAAUGGUUGUCAUUGCUAUGGUAAAAAUGGUAUGUAGGAAUUUCGGACGCGGGUUCAACUCCCGCCAGCUCCACCA